rnacentral:rRNA from 1 species
CAGGCCUAACACAUGCAAGUCGAGCGGAAACGAGUUAUCUGAACCUUCGGGGAACGAUAACGGCGUCGAGCGGCGGACGGGUGAGUAAUGCCUAGGAAAUUGCCCUGAUGUGGGGGAUAACCAUUGGAAACGAUGGCUAAUACCGCAUAAUGCCUACGGGCCAAAGAGGGGGACCUUCGGGCCUCUCGCGUCAGGAUAUGCCUAGGUGGGAUUAGCUAGUUGGUGAGGUAAUGGCUCACCAAGGCGACGAUCCCUAGCUGGUCUGAGAGGAUGAUCAGCCACACUGGAACUGAGACACGGUCCAGACUCCUACGGGAGGCAGCAGUGGGGAAUAUUGCACAAUGGGCGCAAGCCUGAUGCAGCCAUGCCGCGUGUGUGAAGAAGGCCUUCGGGUUGUAAAGCACUUUCAGUCGUGAGGAAGGUAGUGUAGUUAAUAGCUGCAUUAUUUGACGUUAGCGACAGAAGAAGCACCGGCUAACUCCGUGCCAGCAGCCGCGGUAAUACGGAGGGUGCGAGCGUUAAUCGGAAUUACUGGGCGUAAAGCGCAUGCAGGUGGUUUGUUAAGUCAGAUGUGAAAGCCCGGGGCUCAACCUCGGAAUUGCAUUUGAAACUGGCAGACUAGAGUACUGUAGAGGGGGGUAGAAUUUCA